UCCUGGUUAGCUCAAUUGGUAGAGCGCUCCACCCUGUAGUGGAGAGGUCCCGGGUUCGAUACCCCGACCAGGCG
rnacentral:tRNA from 1 species